rnacentral:rRNA from 1 species
ACGACGCUGGCGGCGUGCCUAAUACAUGCAAGUCGAACGGUCUUUUCUAUGGAAGCUUGCUUCCACUGAGAAGAUAGUGGCGAACGGGUGAGUAACACGUGGGUAACCUGCCCAUAAGAGGGGGAUAACAUCCGGAAACGGGUGCUAAUACCGCAUAGUUUUCUUGAUCGCAUGAUUGAGAAAGGAAAGACGGCCUUUGUGCUGUCGCUUAUGGAUGGACCCGCGGCGUAUUAGUUAGUUGGUGAGGUAACGGCUCACCAAGACGAUGAUACGUAGCCGACCUGAGAGGGUGAUCGGCCACAUUGGGACUGAGACACGGCCCAAACUCCUACGGGAGGCAGCAGUAGGGAAUCUUCCGCAAUGGACGAAGUCUGACGGAGCAACGCCGCGUGAGUGAAGAAGGUUUUUCGGAUCGUAAAACUCUGUUGUCAGAGAAGAACAAGUUGGAGAGUAACUGCUCCAGCCUUGACGGUAUCUGACCAGAAAGCCACGGCUAACUACGUGCCAGCAGCAGC